AGCUCUGUGGUGUAACCACGUUGGAUUGCAAAUCCAGAGAUGUAGGUUAAUCGCCUACCGGGGCUU
rnacentral:tRNA from 1 species